UUGAUGCCAAUGUUCCAACGUCUU
rnacentral:piRNA from 1 species